GGGGAAUAUUGCGCAAUGGGGGGAACCCUGACGCAGCGACGCCGCGUGAAGGAAGAAGGUUUUCGGAUUGUAAACUUCUUUGGCUGGGGACGAAGAAAGGUGACGGUACCCAGAGAACAAGCCACGGCUAACUACGUGCCAGCAGCCGCGGUAAUACGUAGGUGGCGAGCGUUGUCCGGAAUUACUGGGUGUAAAGGGCGUGUGGGCGGGAGAGCAAGUCAGAUGUGAAAACCCGAGGCUUAACUUUGGGAUUGCAUCUGAAACUGUUCUUCUUGAGUACUGGAGAGGGAAGCGGAAUUCCUAGUGUAGCGGUGAAAUGCGUAGAGAUUAGGAGGAACACCAGUGGCGAAGGCGGCUUCCUGGACAGAGACUGACGCUGAGGCGCGAAAGCGUGGGGAGCGAAC
rnacentral:rRNA from 1 species